UACUGUUAGUUUUCUUCUUUUUUAUUGCAUACAAGAGAAAUGAAAUUGUAUUACCAUGCGAAUGUCAGUGCUUCAAGUUUGAUAAUCAGUUGUAUGCUUCAUUAUUUUAUCACCUUGGUUGGUUGUGGCUUGCUUAUAUUGUUUCUCCGUAGCAACGAUUCCAAACCUGGAGCGACUACAAAUUUAAUCCAGAUUCUCUAUUUCCAAAUAAAAUCUAUGCGUGUCCAUAAUUUGGUUUAUGUUGUUGAAUUGUAGUAAAAAUCUUUUUGCGUUUGAACUGCAGUUGUGAUCCUUGCGAGUAGCUUGAAUUCAGAUUCCAUUAUGCGCCUUUUCGCCUUGAAAGAUGCUCAAGAUCCUAUAUUACAGGGAAUUAUAAAUCUAGGAAGCAGAAGGAUCACCCCCAAGAUGUUCCUUCUUAGCUAAUGAUUCCAGACAAAAAGAGUUUGAUGCACAUACAAGGAAUUCAAGUGGUGGUAGAAUAACAAAAAACUGAAAGCUAUGUUUGAAUUACCAAU